CCGCCGUCGCCGGAGCCUCCCACUCCUGUUGACACGCCGGCCGUGUCCCCUCAGCCCAGCCGCAGCCCUCGUCCCGGCGCCGCGCCUGGCAGCCGUGCUCCGCCUCUGCCCCCCUUCUACCUCCCUGACCCCAGCCCCGAGCCCGCCACCAUGCCCACAUCACCACCGCCCGUGUACGGUGCCCCUCCGCCGUCGCCGGAGCCUCCCACUCCUGUUGACACGCCGGCCGUGUCCCCUCAGCCCAGCCGCAGCCCCCGUCCCGGCGCCGCGCCCGGCAGCCGUGCUCCGCCUCUGCCCCCCUUCGACCUCCCUGACCCCAGCCCCGAGCCCGCCAGCAUGCCCACAUCGCCACCGCCCGUGUACGGUGCCCCUCCGCCGUCGCCGGAGCCUCCCACUCCUGUUGACACGCCGGCCGUGUCCCCUCAGCCCAGCCGCAGCCCUCGUCCCGGCGCCGCGCCCGGCAGCCGUGCUCCACCUCUGCCCCCCUUCUACCUCCCUGACCCCAGCCCCGAGCCCGCCACCAUGCCCACAUCACCACCGCCCGUGUACGGUGCCUCUCCGCCGUCGCCGGAGCCUCCCACUCCUGUUGACACGCCGGCCGUGUCCCCUCAGCCCAGCCGCAGCCCCCGUCCCGGCGCCGCGCCCGGCAGCCGUGCUCCGCCUCUGCCCCCCUUCGAC
rnacentral:lncRNA from 1 species